CCCACGGACUGACGUCACCAAUUAGGAAGGCGAGACAGCAGCAGUGGGCAUUGUGGGUAAUCCUGAUGGCCACCGAGUCUCAUUCUGAAUCAGGAGGUGCCUCUCCUGCUGGCAGCCCAGAGGCCUGGCCCAGCAGGAGAUCCCUAAACCCUCCUCAGCACUGCAUGACAGACUGCUGCUCCUGACGAAUGGACACCAUAAGAGGAUUGUUCCAUUCACACUGGGUGUUGUUGACGUAUCUUGGCACCCAGCUGAGCCUGAGGAUUUGACGUGUGCAAAGAAGGCCGACUACAUAAAGAAACAUGUUUGGGAAAGGCAACCAGGUGCUCUGAGCUUCGACAAGAGGGACACAGUCCAUCCUGAGAGACAGAGAGAAGCACUGACUUUUGAAUUCACCAACACCUCCAGGAUAUUAAAGGAGCAGGUAUGGAGCCCAUUGCUCAGACAGUGGAGGCAGCAGACGCUUACUUACAAAGACGUGGCUGGCGGUUUGUGGGGAAGCGGGGAGCCUCGUCACAGUUUGUGGGGAGCACCAUCAUGAUCUUGUCCACUUAUGCGGUCGCUACCCUGACCAUGAACACUGGAAAGAAAAUCCAGGAACGGAGAUUAAGAUCAAACACCAACUAGGAACAAUGUCCUCAUCAAAGAUCUGGACUCAGCCUCCUCUCUCUAACAAUGCUACAAAUGACAGAGAGAGUUGAACUGAACCGAGAUGCUUCUCCUCAAAUUAAAUGGGUCACUUCAACUGAAUUCAUCUCAGCUUUAUGCUGUGAAGAUGUGGAAACAAUCAAAAAUCAACUUAAGUCAGUCAGGGCUCCUACAGAUAUUAAGUUUUACCAAGAAGACAUGGUAUGGUUUCAAAGUAAGUGUUUCACAAUGGUCCUGGCCAUAGAUGAAUAAUAACAUAUGGGCACUAAUACUUUGAAUGCAGUGCUGCCAUGUGACCACAGGGUGGAGAACUUGGACUACUUCACUACUUCUAUGAUUUCCAACAACAACAAAGCACAAGCUCACUGGAUAUUGGAUGUGUUUGUCAUGUCAACAUAUAGCGACCCAGGACAGUGACAUUUUUAAACACAAAUCUUUCAAUGCAUGAAACAGAAUGGAAAUGCUCAAUGGCUAAACAACUAGAAUCUUAGAUGGGUUUUUUCUGUGUAUUUGAUGGUUUUUUUUUAAUCUUUGUCAUAAAGUUGCCUUGUUUUAAAUGCCUGUGUGACUGUAUGACAGUGAGUUAGUUGUUUAUUUUUUACACAUAAUGUCACAUUGCUCAUGUUGAUUAUAUGUUUUAUGUAACUACAUUGUGAGGUUGUGGGCCCACACUGAUGCUUGUUCAGUGUAAGCUGAUUAUACAGAAAAUGACUUUCAAAAUAAUCCAUGUUGCUGUCUUUGAAUAAAUGGUGAAAUAUU